AGUGAACGUUGGCGGUAGGCCUAACACAUGCAAGUCGAACGGCAGCACAGUAAGAGCUUGCUCUUACGGGUGGCGAGUGGCGGACGGGUGAGGAAUACAUCGGAAUCUACUUUUUCGCGGGGGAUAACGUAGGGAAACUUACGCUAAUACCGCAUACGACCUACGGGUGAAAGCAGGGGAUCUUCGGACCUUGCGCGAUUGAAUGAGCCGAUGUCGGAUUAGCUAGUUGGCGGGGUAAAGGCCCACCAAGGCGACGAUCCGUAGCUGGUCUGAGAGGAUGAUCAGCCACACUGGAACUGAGACACGGUCCAGACUCCUACGGGAGGCAGCAGUGGGGAAUAUUGGACAAUGGGCGCAAGCCUGAUCCAGCCAUACCGCGUGGGUGAAGAAGGCCUUCGGGUUGUAAAGCCCUUUUGUUGGGAAAGAAAAGCAGCAGGUUAAUACCCCGCUGUUCUGACGGUACCCAAAGAAUAAGCACCGGCUAACUUCGUG
rnacentral:rRNA from 1 species